AGGAAGCAGUUUGAAAGAACAAUAGAAUGUUCAAGAUUUGGUUUGUUAGAAUUUUUAUUUUUAUCGGAUGUGCAGGCUUAUCUCUAAGUAGGGGCGAUGGUGGUCAACAGAACUGGCCGCAGCAGGACUGGAAUAUGAAAGGCGGUCAAACAAAAGGUCCUCUGGGAGGAUGGGAUGACGA